UUUACUAUUUUUCCCCCUACUGUCAAAGCCCAAUUUUAGGAAAAUGGGUAAUAGCUCUCCUACUCUGAGUCAGUAAGUAGGUGAUGUUUGUAGCUCUCCUAAUGGAAUAGUCAUAUACGAAGAACAAGAUGAUGUGCCCUCUGUUUUUUGUGUUUUUUGUUUUUCUUACAGUGGAUGCACAGAGACCUACAUGCCUUAUUGUUGCUCCAAAUAUAAUUCACCUGGGAGUGGAAGAGACUGUGAGUGUGCAGCUCCAUGGAGCAGCUAAAGAAACCAAUAUGAACCUAUACUUUGCAAGCUCGAAAAAUGAAAUUCUGUCAGAAACGAAAUCUAUUAUUCUCAAUAAGGACAAUAACUACCAGACUGUGGUAAAACUGAAAGUCAAUCCUAUCCUGUAUAGAGGAACAGAAAAGGAUAUAUAUGUUC